rnacentral:rRNA from 1 species
UCGUACAUGGUCUUUGUGUCCAAUCCAUGGGACCCAUAACUUACCGCUGGAGGGAGCCAUUUAAAACGACAACCCGGGUGAAUGGUACGUUGGUGACCGCUCAUGGUUUAGUAGAGUCAAUAACUAGGUCUAUCCACCCUUGGUGAAGGUCUCUAUUGUCUGAAGUAGCUCGAACUUGGUCUUUUACUUCGCUAGAGACUACUAUGACUAAGGCUCAUGUUACCGUACCUACUGAUAAGAUCACUUCCUCUUGUCCUGUAAACCCCACCAGUACGAAGACCACGAAGUAUGAGUUCACGUCUCUAACUACCUAGAUUAGAAUUGUCAUGACGAUUAGAGGCGUCUAGAUCUUCUUUCUUCUUUUCUAGACUACGACUAAAACAAUGAAGUAGACUAGCCGCUCAAUUCUUUUCUUUAAACCUACCCGUACCACACCGAUGUGGCAGCUUCCGGUGUAUCUCCAUCCUUCAGAUUCUGACCGGCACGAUGGUUUUCCUUUUAUAGAGGAUUUAGAUCCUCUAACGCUGGAGUUUCUGCACGAUGAGUGUCGUGUGUGUCAAAAAAGAGCUUCUAACUUUGAAGUUGUCUUCUCCUUCUACCUAGUCGCUCGUCAGAAAGUCUGUUGCUUGACUUGUGUCUUUCGUGACUUCGACUCGUCAGUCGCACCGUACCGGACGGUUCUGAACCAUCUCUCUGGUUGGUUAUACUAAGGCUUAUACAAUGGGGAAGAGUCAAGUGACUUUGGUUCCCUUUUUUAAGACGUUUAUCAUCUUUUGACUAAGACUCCUAUGGUGCGGCACUAGAUUUUCAAGUCAAAGGAAGUCUUUCACGUUUAGGUCUUGAGGGUGGAGUAAUACGUCACGACAGUGAAGGUCGUCGGUCUAUGUUUCUGCGACUCGACCUUGAUCGAAAACUCGGACCUUUGAGGAGACGAACGUUCAGACUUAGUGGAGACCAGAGACAAGAUGUACUGCGCCCAUGACAAGUGUCAUUACUGUGUUAGUUUCCCCCACUCGAAUUCGACGCUGGAAGUUUCGUAACGUUCAAGCCCCUGAGAAGAAGUCCUCUGUACACCCAGAGAAGUUUAUUACGUGAAAGUGUACUGCAAAUACCCAGACCAACAGUCUUUUGUGGAUUAGUUAUACUAUUACCGCAGGUUGUUUCCCAACUCGUCUUACAUGUCUUUUCUGUUGCACGUUAAAUAGACCUAUCGUAGGUACUUUUGGUGUUAUGACUACUAAUAGCACUUCCAUUAAACGGACCAUUUCUUACCUAUUGACUGUUGUUCUUAUGAGUAGAUCUCCUUCUUUUAUUGUCCCUUGUGCCAGUCGUCAAGGUGUCGUGAGCCAGAUAUAGGAAAUUUGACUUCAACAGGUCUGGUUCUCCGAAACGUCUACCUCGUUCAAGUAGUCUGUAUAGCUUCUGAUCACGUCAUCCCUCACUGUAGUUGGUACAAUUUCAAAGGUACGUCGUACUACUCCAAAGACGGUGGUCAGUUGUAUCCUCAUCACUGAAGUGAUCACACAGGUCUGCAAAGGUCCUGAAACUUAGACGCUUGUGUAUGCCGUGUCACACGUUUUCCAGUCUCGGUUCAUUCGUGUCCUUUUCUAACCCAAGCCUACGGAAACCUUUACCUGUAUCAUGAAGACAAAGGUUACUACUACCACCCGUAGUUGGAGAUCUGACGUCAGGACAACGUGAAUGACCAUCAAAUGCUUCUUUGCUUUCCUCCAGUACACGUAUGUGACUAAUACCAUCUCUUUCCCUACGUUAGAGAGUACACGUUUCAAGAAGGGAGCUUCGUCGUUAAUCACCCUCUGCUUAACAACGUUUACACGCACUUCAUUACACCCCUAGUUGUAGUUUCUUACGACCAUAUUUCAGAACAUACUUGUUUCCUCUCAACGUUGAAAGGACUAUGUGUAGAUAACCUCUUUUUCGUGGUUCAUAGCUCCGGCACCAACUACAACGAUCUCGUACUUCUAUAGAUGGCAAUAUAAGGAGUUGAACCGCUACUCCAAUACAUGAACGCUGUCCCGGUACUUCUUAUACAAAUAUUUCACGUUAGUAGCCUAUUAACGGGUAACUUAGCCUAGUCUCCGGAAUUUCGACGGCUCGAAACGUUUUAAUUCCCAGAACUAAUGUUCGGUCUAUCUCCCAGACCCCUUUCGACGACACUUAAUUGAUAAUUUAAGUAACUAGUGUGAAGUUCGCCUAAACCGUUUCUCAAACAUUAGUGUAACGCACUCGAUCAAUGCAAGGGACUAAAAGAACACCUUUCUUGUGCCAAACUUCGAUGAUGGUGCAUAUUGACCUCGUAGCGACUAUCCACGUUUCAAACCACCUACCUACUCCCUCUCCUACCUCCUUCAACCACCCUCCCUACUCAUAACCUUUAUUCUGGAUUCAGUGGACUAAAAGGACUCUCGGGAACUCUCUUUAUACAGUAUGUCAUACUUUGACUACCGAGACUUGUAGGCGUAUCGGGGACCCUCCACGUACUACGAUUAUUGGGUAACCAAGGUACCUUGGCAGGUGUAUAGCUAGGGUCAUGGUCCUUGUUUAACAAUAGUCGUCACUGGCCAAAUGUCCUUUUCAGAGAGUCUUUAGUCCUAGCGAUACCACAAGACUUCAAUCUAUGACAACGUCCUUUUAGUCUAAAGUAUUUGUCCAAGGGACAGGUUAAGAGGUAACUCCACUAGUCUCGUUCUGAUGUCUCGCUAAUGAUGUCUUGAGGCCUCCGACAGUUUGUACUACGGUGACACUACGAACGGUUACGGUUCAGAAUAAAAAGGUUCUCGCCGCUUUACUGGUUUUUCUAGGCGUUCGAUAGACUUACCUAGGUUCUGUUCUAAGAUAGUGAUAUCACCCUCCACGCGACACGCCCCAACCGUAAGAAGGGAAAAUCGUCUUAAAAACGUGAGUAGGGCAGUCUACUAAGAGGCAAACGCAGCGUCUUCGUACAAAAACAAUCUCCUUACUUGGUUUUAUCAACCGUCCAACCCUCCCUAAAGAACACACCGGGUUGUAAAACUUUGAUAUAGACUAGGCUAGGGGCCAAAUAACUACGUUUAACUUUAGGACUGGUAAACUGGGAACAAACGGCAGUUCUCUCUACCCUAGGAUAACCUGCUUGUUUUUUAUUCUUGAACUCUGAACUCUCG